CCCUUAGAUGAUUUGGGCUGCACGCGCGCUACACUGACCCUAACAAUGAGCAACUGUCUGGCCUGAGAUGGCUGGGUAGCCUUUUCAACCCAUGUCAUGAUUGGGCUAGAUUUUUGUAAGUCUUGAUCUCUAACGAGGAAUCCCUAGUAUGCGUGAAUCAUCAAUCCAUGCAGAUUAUGUCCCUGCCCUUUGUACACACCGCCCGUCGCUCCUACUGAUUGGGUGAUCCGGUGGGCUGUUCGGCCAUAGCAAUGUUUCUUGAGCAGGGCAAUGAAGGUUUCGCAAACCUUGCCACUUAGAGGAAGGAGAAGUCGUAACA
rnacentral:rRNA from 1 species